UACGUAGGGUGCGAGCGUUAAUCGGAAUUACUGGGCGUAAAGCGUGCGCAGGCGGUUCGUUGUGUCGGCGGUGAAAGCCCCGGGCUUAACCUGGGAAUGGCCGUCGAAACUGGCGAACUGGAGUGUGGCAGAGGGGGGUGGAAUUCCCGGUGUAGCGGUGAAAUGCGUAGAGAUCGGGAGGAACACCAGAGGCGAAGGCGGCGACCUGGACAAGCACUGACACUCAACUACGAAAGCGUGGGGAGCAAACAGG
rnacentral:rRNA from 1 species